GAUGAACGCUAGCUACGGGCUUAACACAUGCAAGUCGAGGGGAAACGAUAGAGAAAGCUUGCUUUUUCUAGGCGUCGACCGGCGCACGGGUGAGUAACGCGUAUCCAACCUGCCCACCACUUGGGGAUAACCUUGCCAAAGUAAGACUAAUACCCAAUGACGUCCAUAGAAGACAUCUGAAAUGGAUUAAAGAUUUAUCGGUGAUGGAUGGGGAUGCGUCUGAUUAGCUUGUUGGCGGGGUAACGGCCCACCAAGGCGACGAUCAGUAGGGGUUCUGAGAGGAAGGUCCCCCACAUUGGAACUGAGACACGGUCGAAACUCCUACGGGAGGCAGCAGUGAGGAAUAUUGGUCAAUGGGCGAGAGCCUGAACCAGCCAAGUAGCGUGCAGGAUGACGGCCCUAUGGGUUGUAAACUGCUUUUAUAAGGGAAUAAAGUGGGAGUCGUGACUCCUUUUGCAUGUACCUUAUGAAUAAGGACCGGCUAAUUCCGUGCCAGCCGCCGCCGUAUGAC
rnacentral:rRNA from 1 species